AGAAGUGGCCAACCUUCAGAAUCCUGGGAGGCUCAUAAGGCAGCAAUCCAAGCACUCAUAAAGCUGCCUUCAGGCGAGCUUGUUACAGGUUCAAGUGAUACAACUUUAAAACUUUGGAGAGGAAGCAAAUGUACACAUACUUUUGUUGGGCAUACAGAUCAAAUAUAGGCUGAUGCACUUGUUCUGAGGGGGAUCAGUUGCACAUUUGAGGAAGGGCACAAAAUACGUAUUGUUGGCAGAAUUGGCAGUGGCAAGACCACUCUCAUAGAGAUGAACCUGUUUUGUCCAGUGGAGCUAGCUAGAGGGAAGAUAUAGUAAUGUAUCUA